CCUACGGGUGGCAGCAGUGAGGAAUAUUGGUCAAUGGACGAGAGUCUGAACCAACCAAGUAGCGUGAAGGAUGACUGCCCUAUGGGUUGUAAACUUCUUUUAUAUGGGAAUAAAAUGUUCCACGUGUGGGAUUUUGUAUGUACCAUAUGAAUAAGGAUCGGCUAACUCCGUGCCAGCAGCCGCGGUAAUACGGAGGAUCCGAGCGUUAUCCGGAUUUAUUGGGUUUAAAGGGAGCGUAGGUGGAUUGUUAAGUCAGUUGUGAAAGUUUGCGGCUCAACCGUAAAAUUGCAGUUGAAACUGGCAGUCUUGAGUACAGUAGAGGUGGGCGGAAGUCGUGGUGUAGCGGUGAAAUGCUUAGAUAUCACGAAGAACUCCGAUUGCGAAGGCAGUUCACUGGACUGCAACUGACACUGAGGCUCGAAAGUGUGGGUAUCAAACAGGAUUAGAUACCCCAGUAGUC
rnacentral:rRNA from 1 species